GGAGAGGCUGGAAUGUGGCAGGAGCCCGAGCGCAGCCCCCCCCACUGCCCCCUGAGGCGCCGCUGCUGCUGCAGGAGCUGCCGAGACCCCCCCACCAGCUCCAUGGAGGAAACGCGGGGCGACCCCCGCCCCUCCCGCGGCCCCUCGGGGGUUUCCUCGGCCGCGGUGGGCACGCUGAAGGAGGAGCUGCUGUGCCCCAUCUGCUACGAGCCCUUCCGCGAGGCCGUGACCCUCGGCUGCGGCCACAACUUCUGCCGGGGCUGCGUCCGGCGCUCGUGGGAGCAGCGGCUCCGCUCCUGCCCCGUCUGCAAGGAAACCUCGGCCCGCGACGAGCUGCGCGUCAACCACACCCUCAACAACCUGGUGGAGAUGAUCCUCAAGGAGGAGGAGGAGGAGGAAGAGGAGGAGGAGGAGGAGGGCGGGAGGAAGGGGAGGAAAGGGAGGAGGGCAGCGCUGUGCCCGCUGCACGGCGAGGAGGCGAAGUUCUUCUGCCUGGAGGACAAGGAGCUGGCGUGCGGCUCCUGCCGCAGCUCCGCGGGCCACGAGGGCCACAAGGUGCGGCCCGUGCGGGAGGCGGCGGCCGAUUUCAGGGCCAAGCUGCUGAACAUGGAAUCGUCCCUGCGGGAGAAAGCCAAGGAUUUCGGGGUCGUGCGGCGCUCCUACAAAUCCAUCUCCAAGCACAACAAGACGGAAGCGGAGCGGCUGGAGCGGCAGGUGAAGCGGGAAUUCCGGAAGCUCCACGAGUUCCUGUGGAAUGAGGAGAAGGCUCUGCUGGCCCAGCUGCAGGAGGAGAUCCAGCAGAAGCAGGAGCUGAUCCAGGAAAAGGUGGAGCAGCUGGAGCGGGAGAACCAGGCCCUGCUGGGGGAGGCGCGGCAGCUCCAGGCGGAUCUCAAGCAGGACGACCACACGUUCCUCAUGAGCCACAAGAACCGGAAGCGCAGGAUCGCGUGGACGGCGGAGGAGCCGGAGGCCAUUCCCACGGGAUUGCUCCUGGACGUUCCCAAGUAUUUGGGGUCGCUGCAGUUCAACGUCUGGAAGAAGAUGCUGGGAAGCGUCACCGCCGUCCCGUUCUCCUUCGACCCCGGCUCCGCCGCCGGCUGGCUCAGCGUCUCCGACGACCUCUCCAGCGUCUCCAACCGCGGCUUCCAGCUCUCCGUGGAAAACCCGGAGCGCUUCACCUCCGCCCCCUGCAUCCUGGGAUCCCGCGGCUUCUCCAGCGGCUUCCACGCCUGGGAGGUGGAUCUGGGAGGCCUCGACAACUGGAGGGUCGGAGUGGCCCGGCCCCGGGAAGGGACCCGCUGGAGCUUCCACCACGAUUCCCGCUCCGGCUUCUGGUUCCUGUACCGGCUUCCCGGGAAGGACGAGUGCCGCGCCUCCAACGCCGCCCGCUCGGAAGCGGGAGCGCCGGGAACGGCCGUCCGGAGGCUGCGGGUGGAGCUGGACUGCGACGAGGGCGAGUUGUCCUUCUACGGCGCCGACCCGCGGCGCCACAUCUACACCUUCCACGAGAAGUUCGGAGGCGCCGUGUUCCCCUAUUUCUACGUGGGCGGGGACGGAGGGUCCCGGGGGGAUUCCCAGGCGGAGGCGCUGCGGAUCUGCCCGCUCCGGGUGCGCAUCCACGAGGAUAUUCCCGACUGAGGAUAUUCCCGAUUGAGGAUAUUCCCAAUUAAGGGUCCCAUGGGGAUAUCCUGGGAUAGGGGUGUCUCCCGUGGGAAUAUCCCAGCCCAGGGGUGUCUCCCAUGGGAAUAUCCCAUGGGAGAGACCCCUGAGGAGAUCCUGGUCCAGGGGUGAGAUCCUGGUCCAGGGGUGUCUCCCAUUGGGAAUAUCCCAGCCCAGGGGUCUCU